rnacentral:rRNA from 1 species
GACGAACGCUGGCGGCGUGCCUAACACAUGCAAGUCGAACGGUAAGGCCCUUGGGGGUACACGAGUGGCGAACGGGUGAGUAACACGUGGGUGAUCUGCCCUGCACUUCGGGAUAAGCCUGGGAAACUGGGUCUAAUACCGGAUAGGACCACUGCCUGCAUGGGUGGUGGUGGAAAGCUUUUGCGGUGUGGGAUGGGCCCGCGGCCUAUCAGCUUGUUGGUGGGGUGAUGGCCUACCAAGGCGACGACGGGUAGCCGGCCUGAGAGGGUGACCGGCCACACUGGGACUGAGAUACGGCCCAGACUCCUACGGGAGGCAGCAGUGGGGAAUAUUGCACAAUGGGCGCAAGCCUGAUGCAGCGACGCCGCGUGAGGGAUGACGGCCUUCGGGUUGUAAACCUCUUUCAGCACCGACGAAGCGCAAGUGACGGUAGGUGCAGAAGAAGGACCGGCCAACCACGUGCCAGCCGCCGCAGUAA